rnacentral:rRNA from 1 species
CCUACGGGAGGCAGCAGUAGGGAAUAUUGGACAAUGGGUGCGAGCCUGAUCCAGCCAUGCCGCGUGCAGGAAGAAGGCCUUCUGGGUUGUAAACUGCUUUUGCCGGGGGAUAAAAGACCCAUGCGUGGGGAAUUGAAGGUACCCGGUGAAUAAGCCACGGCUAACUACGUGCCAGCAGCCGCGGUAAUACGUAGGUGGCGAGCGUUGUCCGGAUUUAUUGGGUUUAAAGGGUGCGUAGGCGGCCCCGUAAGUCAGUGGUGAAAUACGGCAGCUCAACUGUCGAGGUGCCAUUGAUACUGCGGGGCUUGAGUACAGUCGAGGUAGGCGGAAUUGACGGUGUAGCGGUGAAAUGCUUAGAUAUCGUCAAGAACACCGAUAGCGAAGGCAGCUUGCUAGGCUGUAACUGACGCUGAGGCACGAAAGUGCGGGGAUCAAACAGGAUUAGAUACCCUGGUAGUCCGCACAGUAAACGAUGGUCACUCGGUGUUGGCGGUACACGGCCAGCGCCUUAGCGAAGCGUUAAGUGACCCCACGUGGGAGUACGCCGCGAGGNGAACGACAANAGAGUGACGCGUGAGACGUGCCGACGGACGACGACGAGGGAGGAGG